rnacentral:rRNA from 8 species
CAAAUGACUCUCGGCAAUGGAUAUCUCGGCUCUUGCAUCGAUGAAGAACGUAGUGAAAUGCGAUACUUGGUGUGAAUUGCAGAAUCUCGUGAACCAUUGAGUCUUUGAACGCAAGUUGUGCCCGAGGCCUUGUGGCCGAGGGCACGCCUGCUUGGGCGUCAUG